rnacentral:rRNA from 1 species
AACGUAGGAGACAAACGUUAUCCGGAGUUACUGGGCGUAAAGGGCGUGUAGGCGGUUAGUUAAGUCUGGCGUGAAAGCUCUCGGCUAAACCGGGAGAGGGCGUCGGAUACUGGCAAACUAGAGGACGGUAGAGGCGUGUGGAAUUCCGGGUGUAGUGGUGAAAUGCGUAGAGAUCCGGAGGAACACCAGUGGCGAAGGCGACACGCUGGGCCGUACCUGACGCUAAAGCGCGACAGCAUGGGGAGCGAACGGG